GCUAGUUGUAUUAACUAUUAGUUAAUACAAGAUCGACUAUGUCGACUAAAGUUCUAGGUAGAAUAAUGAUGAUGACAAUUUUCUACCUAUAUGUCUUGACCAAAUCUCGUGCCAGCAGUCGCGGUAAUACGUGAAAGACUAGUGUUAUUCAUCUUUAAUAGGUUUAAAGGGUACCUAGACGGUAUAUCUAGCCCAAAACAGGGUACGGGUUAACUAGAGUUUUAUGUGAGGAGGGGAGUACUCAUAGAGUAGAGAUGAAAUUUUGUGAUACUAUGAGGAAACUGGUGGCGGCGAAAGCAACCUUCUAUGUAUAAACUGACGUUGAGGGACGAAGGCUUGGGUAGCAAAUAGGAUUAGAUACCCUAGUAGUCCAAGCAGACAAUUCUGAAUGCCAUAGAUUAGAUUUUUUUGGUCUAUAAAUGAAAGUGUAAGCAUUCCACCUUAGGAGUAAUGUGGCAACACAGGAACUGAAAUCAUUAGACCGUUUCUGAAACCAGUAGUGAAGUAUGUUAUUUAAAUUGAUAGUCCUCAAAAAACCUUACCACAACUUGAAUGUUAUUUAAUUAAUACAAGCGUUGCACGGCUGUCUUCAGUUAAUGUCGUGAGAUUUUGGUUAACUCCCUUAAUUAACGUAAACCCUUAC
rnacentral:rRNA from 1 species